GACGAAUGCUGGCGGCGUGCUUAACACAUGCAAGUCGAACGGAAAGGCUCCAGCUUGCUGGAGUACUCGAGUGGCGAACGGGUGAGUAACACGUGGGUAAUCUGCCCUGCACUCUGGGAUAAGCCUGGGAAACUGGGUCUAAUACUGGAUAUGACCUUUCUCCUUAUGGGGUUUGGUGGAAAGUUUUUCGGUGUAGGAUGAGCCCGCGGCCUAUCAGCUUGUUGGUGGGGUGAUGGCCUACCAAGGCGACGACGGGUAGCCGGCCUGAGAGGGUGAUCGGCCACAUUGGGACUGAGAUACGGCCCAGACUCCUACGGGAGGCAGCAGUGGGGAAUAUUGCACAAUGGGCGGAAGCCUGAUGCAGCGACGCCGCGUGAGGGAUGACGGCCUUCGGGUUGUAAACCUCUUUCAGCAGGGACGAAGCGUAAGUGACGGUACCUGCAGAAGAAGCACCGGCUAACUAUGUG
rnacentral:rRNA from 1 species